AACGAACGCUGGCGGCAGGCCUAACACAUGCAAGUCGAACGCCGUAGCAAUACGGAGUGGCAGACGGGUGAGUAACACGUGGGAACGUACCCUUCGGUUCGGAAUAACUCAGGGAAACUUGAGCUAAUACCGGAUACGUCCGAGAGGAGAAAGAUUUAUCGCCGAGGGAUCGGCCCGCGUCUGAUUAGCUUGUUGGUGAGGUAACGGCUCACCAAGGCGACGAUCAGUAGCUGGUCUGAGAGGAUGAUCAGCCACAUUGGGACUGAGACACGGCCCAAACUCCUACGGGAGGCAGCAGUGGGGAAUAUUGGACAAUGGGCGCAAGCCUGAUCCAGCCAUGCCGCGUGAGUGAUGAAGGCCCUAGGGUUGUAAAGCUCUUUUACCCGGGAANAUAAUGACUGUACCGGGAGAAUAAGCCCCGGCUAACUUCGUGCCAGCAGCCGCCGUAAG
rnacentral:rRNA from 1 species